AGUGGCAGACGGGUGAGUAAUGUAUAGGAAUCUACCUAGUAGUACGGAAUAAUUGUUGGAAACGGCAACUAAUACCGUAUACGCCCUACGGGGGAAAAAUUUAUUGCUAUUAGAUGAGCCUAUAUUAGAUUAGUUAGUUGGUGAGGUAAAGGCUUACCAAGACAAUGAUCUAUAGCUGAUCUGAGAGGAUGAUCAGCCACACUGGAACUGAGAUACGGUCCAGACUCCUACGGGAGGCAGCAGUGGGGAAUAUUGGACAAUGGGCGAAAGCCUGAUCCAGCCAUGCCGCAUGAGUGAAGAAGGCCUUCGGGUUGUAAAGCUCUUUUAGUGAGGAAGAUAAUGACGGUACUCACAGAAGAAGUCCUGGCUAACUCCGUGCCAGCAGCCGCGGUAAUACGGAGAGGGCUAGCGUUAUUCGGAAUCAUUGGGCGUAAAGGGCGCGUAGGCGGGUUAGUAAGUUAAAAGUGAAAUCCCAAGGCUCAACCUUGGAACUGCUUUUAAAACUGCUAGUCUAGAGAUUGAAAGAGGAUAGAGGAAUUCCUAGUGUAGAGAUGAAAUUCGUAAAUAUUAGGAGGAACACCAGUGGCGAAGGCGUCUAUCUGGUUCAAAUCUGACGCUGAGGCGCGAAGGCGUGGGGAGCAAACAGGAUUAGAUACCCUGGUAGUCCACGCUGUAAACGAUGAAUGUUAAAUAUGGGAAGUUUACUUUCUGUAUUAUAGCUAACGCGUUAAACAUUCCGCCUGGGGACUACNGUCGCAAGAU
rnacentral:rRNA from 1 species